UACGGGGGGAGCAAGCGUUGUUCGGAUUUACUGGGCGUAAAGGGCGCGUAGGCGGCCACCGCAAGUCGACUGUGAAAUCUCCGGGCUUAACUCGGAAAGGUCAGCCGAUACUGCGGGGCUAGAGUGCAGAAGAGGCAACUGGAAUUCUCGGUGUAGCGGUGAAAUGCGUAGAUAUCGAGAGGAACACCUGCGGCGAAGGCGGGUUGCUGGGCUGACACUGACGCUGAGGCGCGAAAGCUAGGGGAGCGAACGGG
rnacentral:rRNA from 1 species